CCCCUGCCCCCGGGACUGAUUUUGGGGUGUCCCCAUGACCUUUUGGAGUCUCUGGUGGUUUUUGGGGUCCCCCUGACCUCUGGGGUGUCCCCCUGAUCUUUGGGGUGAUUUGGGUCAAUUUUGGGGUGAUUUGGGUUGAUUUUGGGGUGAUUAGGGCUCAUUUUGGGGUGUUUUUCUGCCCAUUUUGGGGUGAGUUGGGUCGAUUUUGGGGUGUCUCCGUUAAUGAUUUCAGGAUCUUCUGUGGUGACCUGGGGGUGACUUUGGGGUGUCCCCCUGACCUUUUUGGGGUUUCUGUUGAUUUUUGGGGUCUGUGGGGACCUUUGGGGUGUCCCCCUGACCUUUGAGGCUGAUUUUGGGGUGUCCCCAUUAACUUUUGGGGUCUCUGGUGAUUUUUGGGGUGUCCCUCUGACCUUUGGGGUGUCCCCCUGGCCCUGGAGCUGAUUUUGGGGUGUCCCCCUGUUCUCAUUUCCAGACAACCUGGGGGUGAUUUGGGGGUGACUUUUGGGGUCUCUGGUGACCUUUUGGGUGCCCCCCUGACUUUUGGGGUGUCCCCCUGACCCCGGGGCUGAUUUUGGGGUGUCCCCAUUACCUUUUGGGGUGAUCUGGGUUGAUUUUUGGGGUGAUUUGGGCUGAUUUUGGGGUGUCCCCCCAGCUGAUUUCCGUAUUUUCUGUGGAGAUUUGGGCAAUGAGGUGAAUGACGAGACCCUGGGGUGACUUUGGGGCUGAUUUUGGGGUGUCCCCCUGACCUGGGGGUGACUUUGGGGCGAUUUGGGGUGAUUUGAGGUGAUUUUGGGGCAUUUUUCUGCCCAUUUCCCACACAAUUUCCAUAUUUUUUGUGGAGAUCUUGGCAAUGAGGUCAAUGACGAGACCCUGGGGUGACUUUGGGCUGAUUUUAGGGUUAAUUUGGGAUGAUUUUUUGUCCCAUUUCCAGAUGAUUUCCGUAUUUUCUGUGGGGAUUUGGGCAAUGAGGUGAAUGACGAGACCCUGGGGUGAUUUUAGGGUUAAUUUGGGAUGUUUUUGUGCCCAUUUUCCACACAAUUUCCAUAUUUUUUGUGGAGAUUUGGGCAAUGAGGUGAAUGACGAGACCCUGGGGUGACUUUGGGCUGAUUUAGGACUGAUUUUGGACUGAUUUUGGACUGAUUUGGGCUGACUUUGGGGUGUUUUUGUGCCCAUUUUCCAGAUGAUUUCCGUAUUUUCUGUGGAGAUUUUGGCAAUGAGGUCAAUGACGAGACCCUGGGCUGAUUUUAGGGUUAAUUUUGGAUGUUUUUGUGCCCAUUUUCCAGAUGAUUUCCGUAUUUUCUGUGGGGAUUUGGGCAAUGAGGUGAAUGACGAGACCCUGGGCUGAUUUUAGGGUUAAUUUGGGGUGUUUUUGUGCCCAUUUCCCAGAUGAUUUCCGUAUUUUCUGUGGAGAUCUUGGCAAUGAGGUGAACGACGAGACCCUGGGGUGACUUUGGGCUGAUUCAGGACUGAUUUUGGGGUGAUUUGGGCUGAUUUUGGGGUGUUUUUCUGCCUGUUUCCCACACAAUUUCCAUAUUUUUUGUGGAGAUUUGGGCAAUGAGGUGAAUGACGAGACCCUGGGGUUGAUUUAGGGUUAAUUUGGGAUGAUUUUUUUUCCAUUUUCCAGAUGAUUUCCGUAUUUUCUGUGGGGAUUUGGGCAAUGAGGUGAAUGACGAGACCCUGGGCUGAUUUUAGGGUUAAUUUGGGGUGUUUUUGUGCCCAUUUUCCAGAUGAUUUCCGUAUUUUCUGUGGGGAUCUUGGCAAUGAGGUCAAUGACGAGACCCUGGGCUGAUUUUAGGGUUAAUUUGGGA